rnacentral:rRNA from 1 species
UACAGAGGGGGCGAGCGUUGUUCGGAAUUACUGGGCGUAAAGGGCGCGUAGGCGGCCUGCUAAGUCAUACGUGAAAUCCCUCGGCUCAACCGGGGAACUGCGUGUGAUACUGGCGGGCUUGAAUUCGGGAGAGGGAUGCGGAAUUCCAGGUGUAGCGGUGAAAUGCGUAGAGUAUCUGGAGGAACACCGGUGGCGAAGGCGGCAUCCUGGACCGAGAUUGACGCUGAUGCGCGAAAGCCAGGGGAGCAAACGGG